GAAAUGCGAUAAUUAAUGUGAAUUGCAGAAUUCAGUGAAUCAUCGAGACUUUGAACGCACAUUGCGCCCCCUGGUAUUCCGGGGGGCAUGCCUGUCCGAGCGUCAUUGCUGCCCUCAAGCACGGCUUGUGUGUUGGGCUUCCGUCCCUGGCAACGGGGACGGGCCCAAAAGGCAGUGGCGGCACCAUGUCUGGUCCUCGAGCGUAUGGGGCUUUGUCACCCGCUCCCGUAGGUCCAGCUGGCAGCUAGCCUCGCAACCAAUCUUUUUAACCAGGUUGACCUCGGAUCAGGUAGGGAUACCCGCUGAACUUAAGC
rnacentral:misc_RNA from 1 species